rnacentral:rRNA from 1 species
UAACGUCAGCGGCAGACGGGUGAGUAACGCGUGGGAACAUACCUUUUGGUUCGGAACAACACAGGGAAACUUGUGCUAAUACCGGAUAAGCCCUUACGGGGAAAGAUUUAUCGCCAAAAGAUUGGCCCGCGUCUGAUUAGCUAGUUGGUGAGGUAACGGCUCACCAAGGCGACGAUCAGUAGCUGGUCUGAGAGGAUGAUCAGCCACAUUGGGACUGAGACACGGCCCAA